rnacentral:rRNA from 1 species
CCUACGGUGCGCAGCAGUGAGGAAUAUUGGUCAAUGGGCGCGAGCCUGAACCAGCCAAGUAGCGUGAAGGAUGACUGCCCUACGGGUUGUAAACUUCUUUUAUAAAGGAAUAAAGUGAGUCACGUGUGCCUUUUUGUAUGUACUUUAUGACUAAGGAUCGGCUACCUCCGUGCCAGCAGCCGCGGUAAUACGGUGGAUCCGAGCGUUAUCCGGAUUUAUUGGGUUUAAAGGGAGCGUAGAUGGGUUGUUACGUCAGUUGUGAAAGUUUGCGGCGCAACCGUAAAAUUGCAAUUGAUACUGGAAGUCUUGAGUACAGUUGAGGUAGGCGGAAUUCGUGGUGUAGCGGUGAAAUGCUUAGAUAUCACGAAGAACUCCGAUUGCGAAGGCAGCUUACUAAACUGCCACUGACAUUGAUGCUCGAAAGUGUGGGUAUCAAACAGGAUUAGAUACCCCUGUAGUC